GGUAGACCUGGGGAUUGUGGGAACGGGGGAGGAGAGAUGAUGAUACCAGAUCCAGCUCUCCCUACCCCCUCUCCUCUGUUCCUCUAACUUCUCAUAAAAUGGAGCAUUGUCUACAUGCAAGCAAGCCACCUUGGAGACAUUUAUUUCUUAUUUUUCAGGAGGGAAAACUGAGGCUCAAAGAGGCUGAACAACUUAUUUAAGGUCACCCAGCUAAUAAGUGGCUGAACAGAGCCUGGAAGCUUCCAGUGCUUCCUGGGAUCCCCUUCCAAAGAAACUACUUGCUCCCAAAUCCUUGUCUCAGGCUCUGCUUUGGAGGGAAUCCAAACUAUGACACUAACCUCCCACUUUCUCCGUGUCUGCCCCCAGUCUGCUGAAAACUGGAGAAAGCAAUUCUGGCAGCUCUAUGUUAAAAUUUGCGUUCGGUGACGUCAGAUGCAGGAAUAGACACGGAGGAAAAUUCAUCUGGGAGUAUAACAGCCCAUGGAUUCAACGGAGGCAAAGCUGGAGGCAGGGAGGCCAGCAGGAGGCCAUCACCCUCAGCCCUCUAAAAGAAGCCCAGAGCAGGCUGGAGGUGGCUGUGGAAAACAGUCAGGAAUUGGUGAUUAUUUCAGAUACAAGAUCGCAUGUUAACCACGCACGAAACUUGUAUUUUGGAAGGUAGGGCCGAGAUAAACGCUAUCUGGCUUCUGUAUUCAAGCAGAGCUCUUCGUCAAAGGAAACGGAAACAUUUGCCAGUUGAAGAAUGGAAAAACCGCAUGUGCUUAUCUGCCAGAGCUAUUUUGCUUAUAGACGAUCUAACAUUAGUCCAACAGUGGAGGUGACUUUCCAUACUCGCCCUGCCUCCUACCACCUUCUUUGAGGCAUCGAAUGCUCCACCUACUUCCUCUUCAUUUUGUCUUGGCGAGGACUCUUGUUUGUAUCUUUGCCUUGUUGCUUUAUGACUUUUGGGUUUUGUGUGUGUGUGUGUAUGGGUCCCACUGAAAUAUGUACCAAAGUCCUCCCUGUUGCCUUGAUAAAUCUGUAUCUGGGAAUAAACCAAACAGGGAAAAAGGUUUCUACUAAAA